rnacentral:pre_miRNA from 1 species
ACAAUAUUUGAAUAUUCGGUCUACCGAGCAAUCACAUCCGUUCGAUGGAAGAUCUUCCCUUUGUCGU